rnacentral:rRNA from 1 species
UACGAAGGGGGCUAGCGUUGCUCGGAAUCACUGGGCGUAAAGCGCACGUAGGCGGCUUUUUAAGUCAGGGGUGAAAUCCCGGAGCUCAACUCCGGAACUGCCUUUGAUACUGGCAAUCUAGAGACUGGAAGAGGUUAGUGGAAUUCCCAGUGUAGAGGUGAAAUUCGUAGAUAUUGGGAAGAACACCAGUGGCGAAGGCGGCUAACUGGUCCAGUACUGACGCUGAAGUGCGAAAGCGUGGGGAGCAAACAGG